GUUUUUUAGAAUUUUUUUUAAAGAUUUAAUCUGCCCAAUGAUUUUUUAAUGGCUGCGGUAAUUUGACCGUACGAAGGUAGCAUAAUAAUUAGGCUUUUAAUUGGAGUCUGGAAUGAAUGAUUGGAUGAGAAAAUUUCUUUCUUUAAAAGUAUUAUUUUAUAAUUUGAUUUUUUAGUGAAAAAGCUUAAAUUUUUUUUUGGGACGAUAAGACCCUAUAGAGCUUUAAUUUUUUGUUAAUUUAUCUAUUUUUAGUAUUUAUAAUUUAUUUUUUAUUAAAUAAUUUUGGUUGGGGUGACAAUUUAAAUUUUAUUAUCUUUUAUUAUUUUAUUCAUUAUUUAAUGAUUUUUUUGAUCCAGUUAAUUGUUGAUUAUAAGAUAAAGUUACCUUAGGGAUAACAGCGUAAUUUAUUUGUAGAGUUCUUAUCGAUAAAUAAGUUUGCGACCUCGAUGUUGGAUUAAGAUUAGUAAAGGGUGAAGGUUUUCUUUAUUCUAGGUCUGUUCGACCUUUAAAUUCUUACA
rnacentral:rRNA from 1 species